rnacentral:rRNA from 1 species
AGUGAACGCUGGCGGUAGGCCUAACACAUGCAAGUCGAACGGCAGCACAGUAAGAGCUUGCUCUUACGGGUGGCGAGUGGCGGACGGGUGAGGAAUACAUCGGAAUCUACUUUUUCGGGGGGGAUAACGUAGGGAAACUUACGCUAAUACCGCAUACGACCUACGGGUGAAAGCAGGGGAUCUUCGGACCUUGCGCGAUUGAAUGAGCCGAUGUCGGAUUAGCUAGUUGGCGGGGUAAAGGCCCACCAAGGCGACGAUCCGUAGCUGGUCUGAGAGGAUGAUCAGCCACACUGGAAGUGAGACACGGUCCAGACUCCUACGGGAGGCAGCAGUGGGGAAUGUUGGACAAUGGGCGCAAGCCUGAUCCAGCCAUACCGCGUGGGUGAAGAAGGCCUUCGGGUUGUAAAGCCCUUUUGUUGGGAAAGAAAAGCAGCAGGUUAAUACCCCGCUGUUCUGACGGUACCCAAAGAAUAAGCACCGGCUAACUUCGUG